rnacentral:rRNA from 1 species
UACGGAGGGUGCAAGCGUUAUCCGGAUUUAUUGGGUUUAAAGGGUCCGUAGGCGGAUCCGUAAGUCAGUGGUGAAAUCUCAUAGCUUAACUAUGAAACUGCCAUUGAUACUGCGGGUCUUGAGUAAAGUAGAAGUGGCUGGAAUAAGUAGUGUAGCGGUGAAAUGCAUAGAUAUUACUUAGAACACCAAUUGCGAAGGCAGGUCACUAUGUUUUAACUGACGCUGAUGGACGAAAGCGUGGGGAGCGAACAGG